rnacentral:Y_RNA from 1 species
GGCUGGUCCGAAGGUAGUGAGUUAUCUCAAUUGAUUGUUCACAGUCAGUUACAGAUCGAACUCCUUGUUCUACUCUUUCCCCCCUUCUCACUACUGCACUUGACUAGUCUCAA